AACGAACGCUGGUGGCGUGUUUUAUACAUGCAAGUCGAGCGAGGACGGUAGCAAUACCGAGCCGAGCGGCGAACGGGUGAGUAACGCGUAAGCAAUCUGCCCCACAAUCGGGAACAACCGUGCCAACGCGCGGCUAAUGCCGGAUAUUGUAGUCUACUGCAUAGUAGGCCAACGAAAGAUUUAUUGUUGUGGGAUGAGCUUGCGUCCGAUUAGCUAGUUGGCGGGGUAAUAGCCCACCAAGGCGACGAUCGGUAGCCGGCCUGAGAGGGUGAUCGGCCACAUUGGGACUGAGAUACGGCCCAGACUCCUACGGGAGGCAGCAGUAGGGAAUAUUGCGCAAUGGGGGGAACCCUGACGCAGCAACGCCACGUGUGGGAAGAAGCAUUUCGGUGUGUAAACCACUGUCGGAAAGGAAUAACGGAAGACUUCGGUCUUUAUGAAUGUACUUUUAGAGGAAGCACCGGCAAACUUCGUG
rnacentral:rRNA from 2 species